rnacentral:rRNA from 1 species
AUGGUUCCAGUAUCUGGUUUGAUUUUGUUUUUUAUGUGUGAACAGAACCUAUCAUGGAGGAGGUUGACAUCACAGACAAGUUCAUGCUUGAGCUCACUUUCAUUAAGCUGCAGCUCGCGUAACCACUAUUUUUACUACUGCAAAGUUGGACAGAGGUUUGCAGUAACAAUCAAGCUCCGUCCCAGCACGCGGCAUCAACAACAUGAUGUUGAAGCAAUGGCACUAUCCGGAUAUUCAUCUAAUUCCAUCGGUUACCGCAACAACCACCUUUUGUUUCAUAUCUAUCAGACCAGCAUCUUUCCCAUUUUGGACUACUACCAGCAAGAUAUGUAUAGACUUUAG